ensembl:lncRNA
AUGGUGAAGGAAAUCACACCGGGAUACUAUGAUGAUGUCAUCACUGAUGGACUGAAACCAGAUCGUGAGACAGUGGACUCACCGGAGCAUUAUGAUGAUGUCAUAAUUACUGGACAGAACUUUAAAUGUGUAACAGGUGAGUCACACAGAACUGCUUUUUAUCAUCACCUGCUGUAUUAUAUAUAUAUCAUGUUACAUAAUGAACAUGUAUUUAAAUCAUUAAUGAAUCAUCAGGUUUAUCAGGUUUAAUUGAAUAGUCUCAGACAGUCAUGAGGAGAAAGAGAUCAGUGACACAAGCUGUGUUACACAUUACAAUGUGAGGUUUUAUUUCAUGUGUAUCAGAGGGAGAUCAGGAGGAGUAUGAUGAUGAUGUGAAGAACAGCAAUGAAGAUGAGAGAAACAUGCUGGGUUGGUUAUUGUUACCUUUUUACAUAAUCUACUUUCAAUCAUUAUAUUUAAAAUUUAAACCCAAUUUAAACUAAAUAAUGAUAUAAUUAUUAUAUUAAUGAAAAAAUAUGCUUUUGUUUUUUUAAACAGACUUUGAUGAUGUGGGGGAGUAGUCAAAUAAAGUGGGAGGAGCCAUAUGACUCUGAGGAGAUAUAGUCAUAUUACAGUUACUGGUUCUACUGAGAGUUUCUUAUAUUUCUACUAGUGCAUCAAUGCCUUCUGUUUUUAUGAAAGUUUAAAUGCUUUAUCAACAAAUUUGAGUAUUUGUAUUUUAGUAUUUGGCCUUUUAUUUUGAUCUCAAUGCUCUUCAAUUAAUAAACAAAAUAUACCAUCCAUUCAUCAUGUCACAAAAAUAUAUUUUUAAAAGAACGGUUAGAAGAAAAAUGAAAUUAUGCAAAAUUUUACAAAUGUUUAAGAAAGCACUUUUAGGCAGUUCAGCUUUUGACAGCAUUUUAUAGCUAAAUAUAAUAAUAAAAUAUAGAUCUAAAGCAUCAUAUUUUUUUUCACAAACUUAACUCAAGUAAAACAAUUUAAAAUUGUGUUUACAAGAAAUAUUACUGAGAAAGACAAAUAUAUGGCAUGCACGUCCUUGUGGUCAAAAACGAAAAAAACACUCACCCAAACUGCAGAGUUUAUUGUGUGAUGGUCUAUUUUAACUCUAAACAGUCUCAUUUUAUGGUUGAUACUGAAUUAUUUGUGCUGAGCUUGAAUCUUUUGCAGCAAUAGCUCUAUAUGCAGAUUGAGGUUGAGCUGACCUUUCUUGGUUUUUCUCUUCAACAACUGAUAUGUGGCCAUUUUCUUCUCCUUAUAUAUUUUCAGCGCCUCCUCUCACUGAGCUUUGUCUUUCAAGAAUUCCUACACAGACACGCACAAUAAAACAUGCAUCAAUCAUUUGCCAAAGAAUGUAAAGGAUGAUUAAAAUGUGUUGGUUUACAUGACAUAACGAGUCUUCCUUAAUGACAUCACAAAGGAGAUUGAUUAGGAAACUGAAAACUGUACAACAAUUCCAUCAUACUGAUGGCUUAAAGAAGUGCAUUUGUCAGUUUUUAUUUCCUCACCUCUUGUUUUCUUGCACGUUCCUCCUUUAUCCUUUCAUAUUCUUGCUUAGUCUUCUGAUACGAUGACAUUUUCUGCUUC